CAAAGGGAUUACCGGUGGCGGAUGGGCAUGCGGCGCAUUAGCUAGUCGGCGGGGUAACGGCCCACCGAGGCGACGAUGCGUAGGGGUUCUGAGAGGAAGGUCCCCCACACUGGUACUGAGACACGGACCAGACUCCUACGGGAGGCAGCAGUGAGGAAUAUUGGUCAAUGGGCGCGAGCCUGAACCAGCCAAGUCGCGUGAGGGAUGGCGGUCCUACGGAUUGUAAACCUCUUUUGCCGGGGAGCAAGCGUGCGUUCGUGAACGCGCGUCGAGAGUACCCGGAGAAAAAGCAUCGGCUAACUCCGUGCCAGCAGCCGCGGUAAUACGGAGGAUGCGAGCGUUAUCCGGAUUUAUUGGGUUUAAAGGGUGCGUAGGCGGGAUGCCAAGUCAGCGGUAAAAAUGCGGUGCUCAACGCCGUCGAGCCGUUGAAACUGGCGUUCUUGAGUGGGCGAGAAGUAUGCGGAAUGCGUGGUGUAGCGGUGAAAUGCAUAGAUAUCACGCAGAACUCCGAUUGCGAAGGCAGCAUACCGGCGCCCUACUGACGCUGAGGCACGAAAGCGUGGGUAUCGAACAGGAUUAGAUACCCUGGUAGUCCACGCAGUAAACGAUGAAUGCUAACUGUCCGGCUCGAAUGAGCGCUGG
rnacentral:rRNA from 1 species